UCUUGACCUCAGAUCAGGCAAGGCUACCCGCUGGAUUUAA
rnacentral:rRNA from 1 species